AACGAACGCUGGCGGCAUGCCUAACACAUGCAAGUCGAACGAGACCUUCGGGUCUAGUGGCGCACGGGUGCGUAACGCGUGGGAACCUGCCCUUAGGUUCGGAAUAACUCCCCGAAAGGGGUGCUAAUACCGGAUAAUGUCUUCGGACCAAAGAUUUAUCGCCUUUGGAUGUGCCCGCGUUGGAUUAGCUAGUUGGUAGGGUAAAAGCCUACCAAGGCGACGAUCCAUAGCUGGUCUGAGAGGAUGAUCAGCCACACUGGGACUGAGACACGGCCCAGACUCCUACGGGAGGCAGCAGUGGGGAAUAGUGGACAAUGGGCGAAAGCCUGAUCCAGCAAUGACGCGUGAGUGAUGAAGGCCUUAGGGUUGUAAAGCUCUUUUACCCGGGAUGAUAAUGACAGUACCGGGAGAAUAAGCUCCGGCUAACUCCGUG
rnacentral:rRNA from 1 species